rnacentral:siRNA from 1 species
CAACUCAACCCGGCUCGGAGGAAC